rnacentral:rRNA from 1 species
UACGGAGGGUGCAAGCGUUAAUCGGAAUUACUGGGCGUAAAGCGCACGCAGGUGGCUGAGUCAGUCGAUUGUGAAAGCCCUGGGCUUAACCUGGGAAUUGCAGUCGAUACUACUCAGCUAGAGUAUGGGAGAGGGCAGUGGAAUUCCCGGUGUAGCGGUGAAAUGCGUAGAUAUCUGGAGGAACACCGGUGGCGAAGGCGGCAUCCUGGACCGGUAGUUGACGCUGAGGCGCGAAAGCCGGGGAGCAAAGCGGGG